UCGUAGAACAACCACAAUCCCUUACCUCUCUCUCUCUAACACUCACUCCGAUCGCAUAGAUACUCCCUUAGCUCUCUUUGUCUGUAACGCUAUGUAAGAUCGCUCCUAAACACUCCGAUCUUGUUCAUGGCGCUUUAGUCUUUAGGUUUUCAACUCUAUUUCUACCACAAUUUCAUUAUGACCGAAGAAAUUUGUUUCGUCUAUACACCCACCUCAUAUACAAUGUUCGAACUGACUCAUUUCUGUUAGAUCUAGUGUUCAAGAUUCAAUUCUGGUGUUUUAGAGUAAGAGGUUGGAGAUGAGUCAGUGUACUAUCUGUGGAUUCUACCGGUUGUCGAGAAACCUAAUAUCAAGGUAUUUUGUGAACAAUAAGAGUAAGAUUACAGUCUAACAAUGGCGUUUUGGCUGCAAACUUGUCUCAACAGUGUACAUAUAACAAAAUUUGCGAAAGGGGUUUAGAAUUUGGUUUACUGCUAAAGGCUGAUUUGGAACAAUGGUGGGUGAAAAAAAGAUUGAGACUGAGGUUUAUAUAGGCUCAAGAAGUGGAAUUUGAAAGUUGAAGCUACCAUUACUUGCAGCCGGAAUAGAGAUGGAAACCUUUGAGUUUCCAAGAAAUAAAUCAUAAUAAUCAUGCUGAUUAUUUGGAAGCAUUUAUUUUAAAUACAUUUUUAAAUCUGUAUGUGUGUAUCUGAAGGUCUUUACGUGUAUAUAUGUAAAUCGAUUCAAGCAA